rnacentral:lncRNA from 10 species
GUUGUGGCUGGUGGCCUUCGGUGUUUCGGGUUUGGCAGUUCACUCACCAAGGUGAUCUGAUGGAGUGCACUUCGCACGAUUCCAAAGAAGGGAGAAGACAGAGGAGAAUGCCAGAUGAAGACAGAAACAGAGAUUGAAGUUAUGUGGCCAUAAUUCAAGGAUUGCUGGCAACACCAGAAGCCAAGAGAAAGAUGAGGAAGAAUUCUCCCCUAGACCUUUCAGAAGGAGCGUGGCCCAGCCAACACCCUGACUUCAGACUUCUGGCCUCCAGAACUGUGAGAAUAAAUUCUUACUGUUGUAAUCC